GGAUCUUUAACGUACUGUCAAUUUAUAUACUAUCCGAUGGACUGGGCGCUAUUUCGUGCCUCACAGACAAAGAAAGAGAAGCUAGAGAACGGAAUUGAAGAGGCGAGACCUAUUUAUUGAACCAGCGCCAUAUUGACCGAGUGACUAUGGUAGUACGUGUGAAUAUCCCAUAAUGCAUGUUUCUAAUCUCACCGUAUAAAUAUAAGGAAAGAAGUAUAGAUUUAUAUAGAUAUAGUACACUGUUUGAAGACGAGGACAAAGACGAGGACGACCAUCAUGAACGGUGUUUAUAUUCUAACAGCUUUAAUAAUCACUACUGUGUAUGGCGCUGCUAUUGCCAAAAGUCUUCGAAAUGAUGAGAGAUGUCCUUAUGUCACGUGUACAAUUUUACAAUGUGCACCAGGUGAAAUUCAGACUCCAAGUAGUUUUUUUGAAUGGCGCGGUAAGACAUGCCCCGGCUGCCCAAGUUGUGGUAAAAUAGCCAAUGGCAAGAGAGAAAUAGAAUUGACGGUAGACAGGUGUCCGGUUACCAGGUGUGCAUUUCCCGGAACGUGCAGUUCAUCUGAAUAUAUACAUGCUUAUAUUACGUACCAAGGUCAUCGAUGCCCGGGUUGUGCCUAUUGCCCGUCGGAUCUAUUGAAGAAAUUUAAACUCAACACUGGGCGUGCGAUAGCAACCUGAAAAUAAAUAAUCGCCAUCAUU